rnacentral:ncRNA from 2 species
CUCUUAUUCAGAGUGGUGGAGGUACAUAGGACCUGUGAAACCACGGCAACCCCUGAUAAGGAAGGUGCCUGCCUGAGCGAGUAAUAACAAACGGCGUAGCUAUUAGGCCGUAGUGGAUCGAACAAUAAGAG